AUCGCUUCUCAGCCUUUUGGCUAAGAUCAAGUGUAGUAACUUUUCUGGGUGUUCAUUUCUCCCUAUGUGCAAAAGCAUCAUGUUCCAAUGAUGAAUAAAAUAAUCCAGGAUGGGGGUGGAAAACUGAGAUAAAGAGAAAAUGCUAUAAUUCACUCAAACUCAAACUUCA
ensembl:snRNA U2 U2 spliceosomal RNA